CCUACGGGAGGCAGCAGUGGGGGAUAUUGCACAAUGGGGGAAACCCUGAUGCAGCGACGCCGCGUGAGUGAAGAAGUAUUUCGGUAUGUAAAGCUCUAUCAGCAGGGAAGAAAAUGACAGUACCGGACCAAGAAGCCCCGGCUAACUACGUGCCAGCAGCCGCGGUAAUACGUAGGGGGCAAGCGUUAUCCGGAUUUACUGGGUGUAAAGGGAGCGUAGACGGUUAUGUAAGUCUGGAGUGAAAGCCCGGGGACCAACCCCGGGACUGCUUUGGAAACUGUGUAACUGGAGUACAGGAGGGGCAGGCGGAAUUCCUGGUGUAGAGGUGAAAUGCGUAGAUAUCAGGAGGAACACCGGCGGCGAAGGCGGCCUGCUGGACUGAAACUGACGUUGAGGCUCGAAAGCGUGGGGAGCAAACAGGAUUAGAUACCCGUGUAGUC
rnacentral:rRNA from 1 species